CAAGUUGACCCAAACCAUGAAUGUCGCUAUGAUGUAAUGGCAGAUCUGGGAAAAGAUAGAAGAAAAAUCACUAGACAAGUCAUAAAGUCUUUAAUCCACGCUGCAAUAAAUGAAGACGAAUCAGCAUUUGACGAUUUUGCCAGCAUGUGCCGUUUAAUUGGACUGCUAAGAAAUACGGUAUUCUCGAAAUCAUUUACAACGACUGCUGAGGUUGACGGUUUUGGUACUUGCAUCAUAAAAGAUUCGAAAAAUGGCAUUAGCCAAUACAGAGUGUU